GAAGGUCCAAGUUCACAAGGCAGUUCUUCAUCGUCAAUGUUGAGACCUAAGCCAUCCAACAACAAGGUGAUUCUUUACAUGAUUAGUGUUAAUAAUGGCCUAGGUUCAAAUGGGUUGGUAAAGAAACUUCUGAUGAGUGGGAAUGCUGUAUUUGAGGAGAGGAAUUGUUCAACAGAAUCAGAGUAUAUGAGAGAGCUAGAAGAGCUGGUCGGUAAUGACAGGGUAAGGUUCCCUAUGGUGAUUGUGAAUGGGAAGGACUUGUGCGGAGCAGAAGAGGUGGAGGGUUUAGAUGAUUUCGAGAACAAGCAAAAGCUUAUAUCAGUACUGAAUCAUCUCUAUGUUUCUGCAAAAACAAUAGAAAACCUUCAUGGCAUGUUUAGUAGGAGUUUAAUAUUUGAAAGUAGUAUUCAGGACCAGUGGAUCAAUCGGAGAUACUCUUAGUGGUUGUGCUACUUCUUUUCCUAUUUCUUUACCAUGUUUCUUUUAAUAUAAAUGUAUCUAGCUCUCAUUCUUUGACUCUUCAUCUUAUUUAGUUUUGUGUAUGUCGUUAGGCUUUUGUCCGUUUAGGACUUGCUAGGCGAGUCUAACUCCGGCCACGAUACUACUGACAUAAGCUGUAUGGCACCAUCUGGUGUAGGUGUUGGGCUUGCUAGGCGAGCCUAACUUCCUAACUCUGACUCUGCCUUCGAUACUACUUGUCGGGCUUGCUAGGCUAGCCUAACACGACAAUAGUGACAAUAUUAUCUGUUUUGGGCCGAGCACGCACGGCUUUGUUUUUGGGCACCUCCCAAAAGGCAUCAUUUCACUUCCGAUGUAGGACAAUUCCUAACAGUAGGAAUAUCCCUCCUGCAGAUGGGCUAAACUAAGAAUAUUAUCAAUCUCCGCAGAUCAUGUUUAUGCCUGAAAAGAAAGUUCUGCUUUACUGCUAGUAAAUUGUAUUAUUAAUUCAAUGUUAUUAGUCCCCAAAUAAUAUUUCGUGCCUCUCUUGAAACAUAUAAUUUCCAAGCAUCCCUAUCAACUUUUUGAUCUUUUCUCUUGCAAUCUUUUCAUUGCUCUGCCUAUCCCUCCUUUAGUAAUUCCAGACUUCUGUUCUGUCUCCUUACUUGGCUCGAAUCCAUUUAUUAUAAAUUUUCACCAAACAUAUGGCACCACAAUUUAUUCGUUAUACCAUAUUUGUGUUUGAAAAUGUGGGUAACAAAGCCGCACAUUGUCAAGUCAUUUUGAGCAUAAAAUUGAGUGAGUCGUGAUAGCGUGUUCAUAACGAGUCAAGUUUGGAUUGUGUUUUCAGUUGAGCUAGCGGAUACAUACUUAACAAUGAACAAAAAAAGUGGAAUAUCAAGGUGGUUGAAGAAAUAAAUUCAUUGGUCACUGAAUUGUAAUAAUACAGAGAAAAAAUUAUCUACAUAUCUUUAUGCACAUUAAGAGCAAAGAUAUAAACAGUUAAUGUUAGUAGUUUUGACACUGAUCUACAUCUUCAAAACACCUCCUUUGUCCAUGCUGACCCAUCAUGCAAACUUUGUGCUAUGGUCCUAAAACUAACCAAAGCAGCAACUUAUCCAGUUAUCCUCGAUCAGAUGCCCAUAACAGUUCCUACGGUCCAUCCAUUCCUCGAGAAAUGUUUAACAUAUUAAUUAAAUUACAUGUACACAAGUUUAAUCGCAGAACCAAACUCCAUUGGGCAUUAGGCUUCUCAAUUUGAGGCAACGAGUAUGAGCUGCAAUUAUCAGAAAUGUUUAACAUAUUAAAGUUGUUGAAGAAGUUCAUGGCAAUGACAUAUAUACAGUUCUAGUACAACAUUCUUAUAUUCUAGGUAACUUACAUAUACGCUCAUGCUGGUUACACUUACAGAUCACUUUGGUUAAAGUCUUCCGUGUCUCUUUUCAUUUGGCCCCUUUCCACAAAUUGAUUGGCGAUGAUGAUGAGUAUGAUGAACUUUAUGGUGAUCUUAAUAUUGGAGAGGGUUUUCUUCAGCCUCAUCCGUCUGAGGCGCCUGGUCCAAAUGUUAGCAGGAUGGACAUGCUACAAGAAAAUAGACAUCAGAUUCUGGCCGACGUCUUUCCAAUUAAAAACAUAAUUAUUGCCGAUAUAAAUUCAUUGAUUUAAAUUUUUAUGAUUGUAACAAGAUAAUUUACUAAAUUUGAAAUGAAUAACUAGUACAAAACAUUAGCUACCAUAAAAGAUAUUACCGUACAUGUCUCAAGGACGGGGAUUUCAAGUCGCACUGGAGCAUUUUCUUCAUUAUUUCAGAUAAUUCUUCCCACAAAUACUGAAAUAAGAUGAACAUCACAUUAUUUUUGCAAUUUAAAAUUUUAUGAAUUAAUUUAAAAAUACAAAGAUACAUAAAAUAUAUGAUUCUAAGAAAAGAAUUAUAUUAAAAGAUUAAAGAUGAUUAAAGUGCAUCACCUGGGCUUUCAUGUAAUUACAUUCAUCAUGAUCAAUUUAUACUUUAUCGAAAACUUUAUAUCUUAGAUCAGAACUCAAAGAUCGGAACUCGAUCAAAAAUCAAUUAAAUCCAACAUUCAAUUAAAUCCAAAUAUGUACAAACAACAAUAAAUCCAAAAUAAGACGUAAAUAUAUGACAAUGGCUUACCGAUUAUGCAUGAAUUGGACACAAAUCAUCAUCAUCAUACACCUGAUAUAUCGAAAAAUAACAUAACAAUGAUUGUUGUGGAUGGUGGUGAUAUAAUUUUUAUACUAAAAAGAUGAUAAGUUACAGAAGAGAAGCGGGUGCAAAAGGUAAAUUAGGAAGGAGAGGCUGACGCGGAAAGUAAGGUAGAGUUUCAAGGGGAGAUAACAAGGAGAUGAAGAGAUGAAGAGAUGAUUGUAUCACUAAGAAUGUAGGAUAGAUUUUUGUUCCAAUGAGAUGUUGUGCCCUAAAUUCUCAUGGGCCCGGACAGACCCACAACUGAAGGACCAUCAAGAUGGGCUCAUUUAGUGGAUAUUAGAAGUCACUUCAGCACAGUUAUGUUGGACCGCCCUACAUAGCAUAGAAGGGCUUGCUAAUAAGAGAAAUUAUCUAGCCUUCCGAAGGAGACCGGUGGCUGCUAGAAAUGAUGUGGCCUCUACGGGUCGCUACCAUUGGGCUUGCUAACCUAGGCCUUGUUGAGGGCAUUCCAUACUUGGGCUCGUUGGGAUGGCCUCCCUUCCUCACUUCAAGAUGACCCUGGCUUGAGAAGUAUGCUCUAGAGCAUGUUUGUCCCGGUUUAAAGUCGGGACCUAAAGUUGUUUCCAACUUUAAGCUGAAAAAUGUCGGUCUGUGUAUUAUGUCGGAAGCCGACUUCAAGUCAGAAACUGACUUAAAGCCACAAGUUAGUUUGAGGUACUUUUUCGGUGAGUCGAUUUUUUAAACUUUUUUUGUUAAAAAAAAUACUCAUAAGACAUAAAUUACCUAUACAUCACUUUUAUUUCUAUUAUUAUAUUUUUAAUAACGAAUAAGUCCUUAAUAAGUCAAAAUUACUCAAACAAAUAUUUUAAGCUCCAGCUUAUCUCAUAAGUCAUGUUAAGUCAUAAGUCACGUUAAGUAAUAAGUCAUAAACUCCGGCAAACGGGCUCUUAUACAUAAAGCUAGGAAAUUAUGGAUUCACACUAGAAUAGAAUAAAGUGAGGCACAAGGACAAGGUGGAGAAAUGAAGAGAAGCCCUUGUAGAAGAGCCCGUGUGCUAAGCUUAUGAUUUAUGAUUUUACGUGACUUGUGAGUUAACCUGACUUAUGUGAUAAGCUGGGAGUUGAAAAUGUCUGUUUGGGUAAUUUUGACUUAUUAAUGAUUUAAAAGUUAAUAAAAAUAUAUAAACAAAAUAAAACUUAUUUAUGGGUAACUUAUCACUUAGAGAUAAUUUUUAUUAAAAAAAUUAAGUCACUACUGAAAAAAGUACCUCAAACUAACUUCUGGGUUUAAGUCAGCUUGUGGCUUAUUUCUGACUUUAGACCGACUUCUGACUUAUUAUUACACAGACAGACAUUUUUCAGCUUAAAGUUGAAUACAGUUUUAAGUCCCGGUUUAAAGCGAGGACAAACAGGCUCGAAGUUUGUAGAGGGGUAAAUCUUCCGAUUUUUCUCAAUUAUUCAACAUUUCAUGCUUUUCUCAGUUAGUUUCUUUCUAUAUUUAGUUCAGGAAUGUCAUACUUGUCAACAUGUGUCAAGACAUAUUAUUGGAUUUAUGAUUGUUGGAUAAUAAUUUGUGAGGUUUUUCGGUAGGCAACAGAGCACUUUCAUCCAGAAUACUGUGAAAUUGUUUAGGGAAACACUGGCUGCUAAGUACCCAGAAUGCCGACUCCCAGAGCCUGAAAGAUCAGUUUUACGAGACAGUUCUUCAUCCAACGUCAAGGUAAUUCUUUACACAACGAGUGCUAACAAUGGCCUAGACGCAAAUGGGUGGGCAAAGAAGGUUCUGUUGAGUGGAAAACUUGUAUUUGAGGAGAGAAACUGUUCAAAGGAGCCUAUAUAUUUGAAAGAGCUAGAAGAGCUGGUGGGUAAAGAAAAGGUGAGGUUUCCCAUGGUAAUUGUGAAUGGGAAGGAUUUAAACUAUGUUAUAUUACGUAUAGUCAAGUGAGAGAUAUCAUAUACCUCACAACACUACUGUACUAUGCAAAAUCCUAGAAAUUAAAAUAUAUGCCUUGGAGAAUUUGAUGUUAGCUUCGUCAUCGUCAAAGUGUUCUGCUAUACACUUUGCUUGUUCAAUUUUGGAAGGAUGCGAACAAUCUAUAUGGACUCUGUCGAUUCUUAGGAUCUAAUAGUUGCCUAAACCUUUACAGUAAAUUAGGUAAUCUUGUUGUAAGCGAGUGGAGAACACCAGGAUCUUAUAAUAUUAUCGGCUCAUUUCAGGAUGGUGCUAAAGAGCCCCCAUACCCCUUGUUGGCUCUUGCAUUAGUCAAUGCUCAGAUGUCUCCAUUAUUACAUUAAACAUUAUCUUCAAAUUUUGUUAAACGCAUUAGAACUAGAGAUAGCCCAAGUGGUGGGCUUAUCCUCUGUUGGUCCUGGACACCCGGGUUCGACACUAGCUCAUCCCGAGAAUUAUUAGAAUAGUUACUAAUUUGUAAGGCAUAUAAGCCUGCACUGCCAAAAAAAAAAGACCUAACAUGGCCGACAUGGAUGCAUAAUGCAUGCAUCUGAUCUCAGUCCCUGCAAAAAUAUGAACACUAUUGUUUCUUACAUAAAGAAAAACAUCUGCUCCUUCUACUUGCCUCUUCCUCUGUUUCUUUGGAAAAAAAAAAGCACUUGUAGUUAGUAUAUUUAGUUAGGGGUUAAAUAUCUAACGACAAGGUGAUUCUUUACACAUAGUGUUAAUAAUGGCCUAGGUGCAAAUGGGUUGGUAAAGAAAAUUCUGAUGAGUGGGUAUGUUGUAUUUGAGGAGAAGAAUUGUUCAAAAGAGUCAGAGCUGGUCGGUAAUGACAGGGUAAGGUUCCCUAUGAUGAUUGUGAAUGGUGAUUGUGUGGAGCAGAAGAGCUGGAGGGUUUAUAUGAUUUUGAGCACAAGCAAAAGCUUAUAUAUCAGCACUGAAUCAUCUCUAUCUUUCUGCAAAAACAAUAGAAAACCUUCAUGACAUGUUUAGUAGGACUUUAUCACAUCAAAGUAGUAUUCAGGACCAGUGGAUCAAUGGGAGAUACUCUUACUGGUUGUGCACUUUACUAUGAUUUUUUUUAGGGAAAAUUAAAUUGCAGGUCCCUGAACUAUUGACGUUUUAUUGUCUAGGUCCCUGAACUAAAGAUUCCGUAUUUCAGGUCACUUAACUUUUUUAUUUUCUGAUCUAAGUCCUUCCGUCAAAAAGAUUCUAACAGUGUUAACUAGGGUUCUUGAGUUUCAUACAGAUCAAAGCAAUUUUGAAGGUGUUAGUGAUAUCCAAAUUCAAAGUUCAAGUAGUCAAAUUGAAGCUUGAGUCGCUGGCGACACUCAUAUGACACCAAUUUUCAAAAAUUAUGUUCAAUUUAAAAUUUUAUAAAUUUAGGUCACUAAAUUCGAUAAAGAACCCUAAAUUUAUGGUCAAAUUUGGGGUUUUUUAAAAUUAAAUCUAAUUUGUGAAAAUUGUUGUCAUAUGAGUGUCGCUAGUGAUUCAAGCUUCAAUUUGACUAUUUGAACUUUGAGUUUGGAUAUCACUAACACCUUCAAAAUUGCUUUGAUCUGUAUGAAACUCAAGAACCCUAGUUAACACCGUUAGAAUCUUUUUGACGGAAGGACUUAGAUCAGAAAAUAGAAAAGUUAAGUGACCUGAAAUACGGAAUCUUUAGUUCAGGGACCUAGACAAUAAAACGUCAAUAGUUCAAGGACCUAUAAAUUAAUUUGCCCUAUUUUUAAAUAUAAAUGUGACUAGCUAUCAUUCUUUGCCUCUUCAAUAUGAACAAAAAAAGUGGAAUAUCAAUGUGUUAUACAGAGAAUUAAGUUACUACAUAUAUAGAAGCUUUAUGUACAUUAUCGAGAGCAAAGAUAUAAAAAGUGAACGUUAGUAGUUUUGACACAAAUCCACAGCUCCAAAACACCUCAUUUGUCCAUGCCGACCCAUCAAACUUCGUGCUAUGGUCCAAAAACUAAACAAGCUGAUCCACGAGGAGCUGCCCAUCACAGUUCCUACCGUCCAUCCAUUUCUGAACAAAACUCCGUUGAAGUUGAUCCUAGUACAGUUCUAGUACAGCAUUCUUAUAUUCAAGGUGAAUUACAUAAACGCUCGCGCUGGUUACACUUACAGAUCACUUUUGUUAAAGUCUUCCGUGUCUCUUUUCAUUUGGCCCCUUCCACAAAUCAUGCAGCGCCAGGAUGAAUUGAUUGGCGAUGAUGAUGAGUACGAUGAACUUUAUUCUGAGCUUUAGCUGCAUCUGACACUUAAAGGGACCUACCAUCCAACAAAUAUGUAUUGGCUGAGGGAUUUGGAGAAAAGUGGUACCAUUUUAGGAUGCACUCUUUUGAGUGAUCGCUAGACAUGCAAAGAAACAUCUAAGUUUUUUGGUUCCUUGGCAGUGGCGGAAGGAAGCUGGGGGGGGGGGGGGGGNNNNNNNNNNNNNNNNNNNNNNNNNNNNNNNNNCCAUUGACCUGCUUGGCAUAUAAUUUUUUUUUUAUAAGUUUAGUUUUGUGUGUCUUUGGUUCUUGCCCCCACUUAAAAACAAAAAUAAAACCUGUAUAUAGUAGUAUAUUGGGCCAGGCCCACUAGGCCAAAUAAAACAAGGGGAAAAGUGAAAAACAUAAACAAACAAAAAGAAAGAAACAAUCGUUAGGAUUUAAUUGCCAUCUUCUAAUAGAACCAAUCGUUAGGAUUUAAUUAGUAGUAUAAAUUUUUAUGUAACGAAAGUUAGACCAUUAUAAUAUUAUGUUAUUUAUAUGGCGCCCCCCCCAAUGUUGCCUACAGACAGCUUAAAAUUGUCACUGAUAGCAUCUCAUUCCUGAGUAAUUCGCAGAUCACUUCGCUGUGCCAAGAAACAAAAUAUUACCAAAGUGAGGAUCUGUCAACAAUACUUAAUUGUAAUAUUUAAUUUUAGUUAUAUUAAAAUAUAUUUUAAUGAAAACAUUUGGUUUAAAGAUGAAAUGGUGAAAUUGAAAAAUAAAACUUCAAAAAAAUUAAUACUUAAAUGAAGACGUCCACUUGUAAAAAAGGAGUAAAUUUAUCAUGUCACAUAUGUUCUAUUUUUUAUAUCACAUAAUCUAGUCAGCACAAUAUAAAGAUAUAAAUUUUGUAAUAAAAAAUCUUAUAACCAAGAUUUGUUUUCAUAGAUAAUUAUAGUCAAAAUAGUAUAAAUAUUAUGACCUCAUGAUACAUCCUCCCUGCACAUAAUAUUUGAAAAAGUAAUAAAUUUUUUGUACCUACACACAUGGUAACUAAAAAUCUCUUACAAUACGAGAAGAAAACAACACGAGAAGAAAACGAUGUGCUUGAUAAGAUAUGAAAAGAAGAGGUGGUUGCAUGCACAAUGUCACAUUUUUCACAUCACAAUGUCACUUUAAAGUAUGUAAUACACUUGUACAAUAUAAUAUAAAUAUAAAAAUAUAAAAUGAUAGAAAUUAUAUCAAUAUUGUAAUUGCAAAGUAUGAAAUAUAUUAUAAAAAAAUUAUGUUUAUUGAUGUAUUUAUCUCAAAAACAGUUGGCAUGUUAAUUGAAAUUAAGAUUUUCACUAAUGGAGUUUUUAUAUCAUUACAUCAUGAUCAAUUUAUGCUUUAUUGGAAACUUUAUAUCUGAGAUUAGAACUCAAAGAUCAGAACUCAAAAAUCAAUUAAAUCCAAAUAUGUACAACAAAAAUAAAUCCAAAAUAAGAAGAAAUAUAUUAAUGGCUUACCGAUUAGGCAUGAAUUGGAGACAAAUCAACACAUAUAUGAUAUAUCGAAAAUAUCAUAAUGAUGAUUGUUGUGGAUGGUGGUGAUAUAUUUUUUACACUAAAAAGAUGAUGAGUAAAAAAGAGAAGCGGGUGUAGAAGGUAAAUUAGGAAGGAGAGGCACAUGCGGAAGGUAGAGUUUAAAGCGGAGAUAACGAGGAGCAGAAGGGAUGAUCGUAUGAAACUAAGAAUGUAGGAUAAGUUUUUGUUCUAAUAAGAUGUUAUGCCAGAAACUGUUGUGGGCCUUGGCAGACUCAUAAUUGAAGGACCACCAAGAUGGGCUCAUUUAGUGGAUUUCACAAGUCCCUUAUGUUCAUAGUUAUGUUGGACUGCCCAACAUAGAUGGGCCGCUAGUACGACAAAUUAUCUAGCCUUCCCAAAAAGAGGGGUGGUUGCUAGAAAUGAUGUGGCUCUAGGUGUCGCUAGCUAUUGCGCUCGCUAACGGUGAGGGCACUCCAUAUUUGGGCUCUUUGGGACGAUCUGGCUUCCUCAUUUUAAGAUGGUCCCGGUUGGAGGAAGUAUACUUUAUACACUAAGUCCUUUCUUGGAUCUCCUAAAGGCUACUACUUAUAUUCUUGGAUCUCCUCACUCCUUAAGAGGAUGAGCGAGGAAUGAAGACUUAUAUGACUAGUCUCGGUUAGGGGUGAGCAAAUGCCAAAACUACAUUGAAAAACCAAACCGAAUCAUGCAAAUUCGGUUCGGUUAUGAAUGAAUCAAAAUAAAAUUCGGCUUGGUCUUGUUCUUAAAAAAAUAUUUGAUCCGGACCGAAUAGAUCGAAUAGCCCAAACAUUAUAUAUAUAUAUAUAUAUAAAAUGUAAUAAUAUCUAUUUUUGGUGAAAUGGUGGUGAUUAAUUAAUAUUAAAUUUAAUAAAUCAUAUAUUUUAGCAAUAUGACCACUAAAGUUUAAAAAGCGCUUCGAUUUGCACCACUUUGACCAUAUUCCGUCAAAUUGACUGUUAAAUUACAUUUCAGUGAAAUCAGAAAAUACAACCGCUCUAUUAUCGAACCCCUCUCCCCGCCCCCAGAUUACUAUUUUACCCCUGCCUUUAUUAAUUUUAACAUUCGAUUUACGGAUUAUGGUCAAAGGGGUGCAAAUCGAAGCGUUUUUUUAAACUUUUGGGUGCAUAUUGCCAAAAAAGAUUAUUUGAGACCAAAUCGAGAAAACGCUUAAACUUGAGAGGUGCAAAGUGUCAAUUACUCUAUUUUAAAUUACAAGCAACCAAUAUAACUAAUACUAUUUUAAAUUAUAACCAACCAAUAUUACUAAUACUAUUGAAGUACAAUAUGUUAUAGGUUCAACAAAUUUUACAUAAUGUCUUUUAGGUUCAGUUUAGCCAAUGAGGUCAGCCUCAUUGAAGAUGCUCUAAGAACUAUUAUAACCCCACUAAUCACACUAGGGGUAAGGGCCGUUUGGUUGACCUUAAAAUAAGUGUUUCCUGCUUACAGUAAAAAUUGAAGUAGAAGUUAAAAGCAAGUUAGGACUUAUAAGUGAUUAAAUUGUUUGGGAAAGAAGUAGAAAUUAUGAAACAAAAGUUAGUAUGCACAAAUUCUUAUGAGUACUUAUUGACUUUUAACACAAACGUUACGAAUAAGUGCCUCUAACUUAUAAACCCACAAGCCGGACUUUUAAAACCGGCCAAACACCGCCUUAGUUUUAAUGAAUACCAUUAGAUAAAGAAGAAGCCACGAGCGUGUGACAUCUAUAUUUUUAAUUUUCUUGAACUUCAGAAUUUUAAAUAUCAAAAAUAAAAAUUACAUUUUCAUGUUGCCAAUAUGCCGUAAAAGAGUUUUCUAUGGGUUAAAAAUAUCAUAUUGAAAAAUCAAAUUUACUUUUUUCAGUUUUGAAUUUAAUAGAAAAAAGUUGUAAAUAGUAAAGAUAUAAUAUGAAAAAUAUUUAUUGAAGAAAGACACUAUUAAAAUAUCAAAUCUACUUUUCUUAGUUCAAAUUUUUUAGAAUUUUUUUUACUUGAUAGGAUAGACUAUAUUGAAAAUUUAUAUUUAUCUUCUCCAAUUUUACAUAUUUUUGUAAGAAACUUUCUUGUAAUUUUUGGAUUUAAAAUAUCAAAAAAUAAACCUUUUUGAUAUUGUAUAUGUUGUAUCACUUUCAAUUUCGAAUUUAUUAAAAGGAUGUUUAAUAUUUUGAAAGACCAUAUUAAUUGAUUUUUAUAUAUCAAAAACAAAAAUAACCUUUUGAUAUCAGCAUGCAUUUCUAAUGCAGCUAUGGCAUCAGCAUCUCUAGCAAUGGCAGCUGCAUACAGAGCAUCUUUAUCCAUAAUUUUGUAAAGGCUUCCACCAGGGCUCUUAGCUAUAAAAAUGAAAAAGUAAAGAAGAUUUUAACAAAUACAAAAUUGGAUUUAGCUUAGAUAACAAAAAGAAGUAAAUAUAGCUAUAGAUAGUAUAUUAUGUUUAUAGAAAAGAGUGUUUAAAGAGCAUACCUUGGUCCAGAUCUUUAAUACGCGCAACAGUACUACAAUCAGGUCCGAGCAAAGAUGGAGCAGAGCAGGUUGCAGAGAUAAUCUCUGCUAUAUUUUCCGAGCCCUUUUUCCACAGCUAUGUACAUUGGUGUUUUACCCUCACCAUUUUGAAUAUGUGUAUCACUUGGAUCCGCCUCUACUAAUAGCUUAACAAUAUCCAGGUGACCAUACAUGACUGCUGCAUGUAAAGCGGUGUCCAAAUCUUUAUCAGCUUGCCUGAGAAAAGCUUGAAAAGAAGUAAUUGAAUCAUCAUCAUCAUAAUUUGGAGGAGGCAAAUGGCGAGCUGCAUCAAUGAGGACCUCGGCCAAUUCAGUUUCUCCUUCGUAUAUAGCCAAGUGAAGUGAAGUGAAGUUAAGCUUUGCCAGAAGAAUUUUGUGUGCAAAUUCCCUCAAAAUGAAUCUUACACGUUCUGUAUUUCCCUUCUCUGAUUCCAGGUGAAGGAUAGUUUCUUCAUAAUAUUCGGAGAGUGUAUCAGCUUCCUAGUGUUUUCUCAGUUUCCCUGAACUCUCAUCUGAAAGAUCUAGACAAUCAUGGGUAUACGUAUGCCUCAUAUUACUAAACUCAAACAAAUCCUUAAUUCACAGGUCAUCGUACUUAUUAAAUCCUGAUCUGCUAAACAGAAGUGUAAGUUGAAAGAAAAGGUAACCAAAAGACUUUGUUUGUACCCAAAUGUAACCCUGUGCAACCUCUAAAGCUUGUCAGUGUUCAUCAGGGUUAAAGUAAUACUCUUGACAAUCAUUGAUUUGAGAAUCGAUAUGACUUCGUGAGCACUGGGCUUUAAUGGAUCAGAUAUGACAAUAACUCUAGUCAACUGCCCAUCUAUUGACACAAGAAUCACACUUUGAGCUCUUGUUUCCCACAUUUAUCUCUUUAUUAUGAACAACAGCUUUCAAACCAUGUCCAGUAAUAGAUUCAAGUCUCGAGCCUCGGGCUAGACAGGAUUUUCCACAUCCUCUCUAAAUUUCUUAGCAUACUCUACAAUCGCCUUGGCCAAAGGAUGCUCACUAUUUACCUGAUACAAGUUCAUCAAAGCAGUUAAUUAUGAUACAAGUUGUUUAACAGAUGACAUCCAUAUCACAUUACCUAAUACAGAGAUCUAAAACUCUGUAUAUUGAUAGUAAGAAAGCUACAGUUGUAUCUCGACAUCCAAAAUAUUUGCAAAAGUUGGAAAAAAAUGUAAAAGGAAAUUCGGAAUUUAAACCAUGAUAUUUUAUGUAUAGUCGAGUGAGAGAAAUCAUAUACCUCACAACUACUGUACUAUGCAGAAUCAUAAAACUUAAAAUAUAUCCCUUCAAUAUCCCUUCAAUAAUUUGAUGUUAGCUAGCACCAAUUUUAGCUUCGUCAUCGUCAAAGUGUUCUGCUAAAAACUUUGCUUGUUUAAUUUUGGAAGGAUGCAAAAAAAUUAGAUCUAUAUGGAUCUAAUAGUAUUAUCCGCUCAUUUCAGGAUGGGGCUAAAGAGCCCCAAUACCCCUUGUUGGCUCUUGCAUUAGUCAAUGCUCAGCUGUCACCAUUAUUCCAUUGAACAAUUAUCUUCAAAUUUUGUGAAACGCGUUAGAACUAGAGAGCCAACUUGGCCAACAUGGAUGCAUAAUGCAUGCAUCUGAUAUCAGUCCCUGCAUAAAUAUGAACACUGUUAUAUUUUACAUAAAGAAAAACAUCUGCUCUUGCUACUUGCCUCUUCCUCUGUUUCGUUGAAAAAUAAGCACUUGUAGUUGGUAAUUGUGCGCAAAAUUCAACAUCAUUCCAAAGAAUUGUAUUGAUUUGUAUUGUGACUUUGUGCGAGGCCUAUAUAGUUGACUUCCCUCGUCAACUUCUUUGGAAGGUAACUAACUUUUUCUUUUGCUAAGCAACUACUUGGAAGGUACCUAAUUUCACUUCCAAGUUCCUAUCAAUUUAUAUAAAUCUGCCAAUUUUGUGUUAGAAAUACAUCUUCUCAAUAAUGUCUAAAGUAUGAAUUAACUAACAAUGUUUUGAUUAGUUGCAGGUUUCUAUCCCUCAAACUAAUUUAAUUCAUGACAAGCUAAUUCACCAUGGAUCAGAAUGCCUCGUUUUGUCAUGUCUUCUUGAGUUUCAGAGGGGAAACCCGCAACAAGUUCACAUGCUUCUUGUACGAGGCACUGAAAGCCGAAGGAUUUACAGCUUUCAUGGACAGAACUGCCAUACGUGUUGGAGAUGAAGUAGAUUCAACAAUCAAAGAAGGGAUCAGAAACUCUAUGAGCGCCAUAAUUAUAUUCUCCCAAAAUUAUGCCUAUUCUACUUGGUGUCUUGAUGAACUUGUUCUUAUCCUUGAACGCAAAAAGAACUCGAGGUACUUUAUUAUACCAAUUUUUUAUGAGGUCGAAAUUCGAGAUAUUAAACACCAGCUUGGAAAUUAUGGCCUUGCGCUUGAAAAGCAUAGGGCUAGGCACAAUGACAAGGUAGACAAGUGGAAAGAAGCUCUUGCAGAAGUUGGUAAUAUUCUUGGACAGCAUGUAGAAGGGUAAUUUUUCUUCCUAUUCUUCACUGUAAUUCUUGGUUUGGAGCGCAAAUAUGCACCUGAGUUUGGAUGAUAAUAUGUUUCUUUUAUCACUUUCAGGCUGCAGAGCACCUUUAUCCAAAACAUUGUAAAAUUGUUUCGAGAGAAAUUGGCUGCCAAGUUCCCAGAAUGCCGCCUUCCUACACUAGAAGGUCCAAGUUCACAAGGCAGUUCUUCAUCGUCAAUGUUGAGACCUAAGCCAUCCAACGACAAGGUGAUUCUUUACACAAUUAGUGUUAAUAAUGGCCUAGGUGCAAAUGGGUUGGUAAAGAAACUUCUGAUGAGUGGGAAUGUUGUAUUUGAGGAGAGGAAUUGUUCAACAGAAUCAGAGUAUAUGAGAGAGCUAGAAGAGCUGGUCGGUAAUGACAGG
rnacentral:lncRNA from 1 species